GUCAGUCUGACAAGGUAGGCUAUAAGAUGGGUGCCGGAUACUUCCUGAAAAUGAUGAAUGAGGAUGUAGAAUCCAGUGACAUCCCAGCAAGCCAGCUGGCUGCCAUACAGAGCAAGGGACAGUUCCAACGGUCCAUCUCCUUGGCCCUAUCGGCUGAGACUGGUGGUGACUUCCUGCCCUCUUGCUCUGUGGAGCAAGAUGACAGGGGUCACUCGUUGGGCAUCUCGGCAGACAAUGUGGCACGUUCUGCAGAGGGCUUGGACAUCGCGUCAACAAUCAAGGAAGAAGAUCAUGAUUUGGAAGACAGAGUUGAGAGGAGAGUCCUGGAGGAGGAUGGGGAAGACGAGGCUGUCAGUGACGAUGCAACAACUGAAGAGAGUGUCAGCAGUGAUGACGACAGUGAUGCAGUGCAAAUGGCACCUCUCCCCCAGUCAACUGUUUCAAACCAUAGAAGGAGGACGCAGUUACAGCGGCAAAGAUUACGACAGCAGAAGAGGGACUUUUUUGCACCCUUCAUUGAAGAUGAUGACUUGCAUCUGUCCUGUGAAGGCACAGUGGAAAUUGAAAACAGGCAACAGUGGGUCCCUACUUUGAUGGAGCUGUGCAUGGAAAAGGGUUUCUCCACGACCACUCCGUUGCCCCCAGGACUGAAGCCGGCCCUAUCCCAGCAUCGUGGCAAGGCCAGGCUCGCUGCUUUACAGUUGCGCUGGCUUGGCAGAAACCUGGCAAUCCUUGAGAAGCAGAUCAAGUGGAACCUUGUUGAGGCAUUGGGACCUCACGGUGUGAAGUCCACUCAUUUGAGGCGUGACGCCAAAUCUCUUUGGAGAAGGAAGCAUUGGCAUUACGAGUGGAGCCCACACCCUGAGAGGAAGCUGUGGAUUCUGCCUGCCAGCUGCCAGGUGUAUGACACAACAGACUGGAAGAUAGCAGCCCUGGCUCACUACAUCAGCUUGGCACUGCCACACUGGAGCGUCGACAGCAAAAGGGAUGGGGCCUCCCAGUCAGAACAUAAGGGCUGCUGGGAUACAGAUAUACAUGUACAACAGGUCAAGCGAUGUCUGAGAAAGAGAUAUCCCAAGCUGGUGAAGUAUUGUUUUGAUCACGCCAUGGCCUAUGUAUGGUGGACCAGGGGCAGAUGCACGAAAGCCCAGGAAUCCUUUAUAAAGAUUGCCAAACGAUAUCCACCCGACCUGAUUUCUGAGACAGAGCAGAGCACUUUAUGGGCUCGUCACCGAGCCAUGGUGCUGGUUGAGAUUGGCCGCCUGAUGGUGAGCUUUGACCAACCGGACUCGGCUGGGAAGUUCUUUCGGGAGGCUGCCGAGGUGGCCUCUAGGAAGGUUCACCCCGGGAUUGCAGACAAGCUCACCCUGCAGUCCCUGGCUCUGACAGCUUCGGCUUAUGACCAAGGCAUGAUGGCCGGCCAUUCAGCAAUCCAGGCUGCCAGACUUUGGUCAGUCACUGCUCAGCAAGUUCAGGCCGUGGAGCAGACGCCUGAGAGGACUUUGCUCUAUUAUGAGUGGGCAGAUCGGGGGGAGCCUGUACCGGAGUACGGCUGCCGUGAGGCAGUGCUAGCCGCCGUGGAAUCAUUGCUGCACUGCCACGCCGGCCAUGUCGUAGAUCCAGCCAGCCAGGAUUGUCAAGAUUCAUUGCACAGGAAUCGAGUCUGGCUAACUGGGGCCAAAGCUAAUCUGGAGAAGCUUCAAGGCCCGGAGAGUGCCUUUGUUGGAUUGUAUCUGUCCUUUGUCCAUGCCAUGCUUAAUGAGGCAAGGGAUGCUGAGAUUGCGUACCACCAUUCUUUGACUAGCAAUAUCUGGAGAGGAGAGCCAGGUGACGUCUGGAGGGGGGAGGUGGGGAAUGUUGCCACUGUGCUGAGGGAAACUGAAGUCAGACCCCACCCAUGGUGGCUCUUCGGGGAAUGGAUCGCAGCUCGGAAGGCGGCCCUGGGGAAGUCGUUCUCAGAGCCCCUGCGAGUUCUACCAUUGGUGUGGCGAAGAGGGCUGCAGCAGCCUGCAUAUAGAUUUGAUGGGAGGACUUUGCGCAAGCAAAUUGCUGACAUUGAGGGAUUGACCCUUGACCUUCAUGUGACCCCUAAAGGUCAUCUGACCGGUGCCAUGAUGCAGAAUCUCCCACCAAUGACAAAGGUCUGCAUGGAUGCGUACACUGGGCAAGUUCAUCUGGGAGGCGCAUGCUGCAAUGAUGAGCUCCAUCGAUGGGACAACUACGAUAACAGCUUUACUUGCAAGGUUAGCUUCGACUGUAAUAGUAAUGUCCCACAAUCAAACAUCAUUUACUCUGACCCCAAGACAUCAACAGUCACAACCCUGGUAAUUAACAGCAUGAGUAGAUACUACGAAUUGGAGGCUGACAGUCAUGCCCAAAUGGUCGCGGGCAAGAAAUGUCCGGAGAACUUGAGGUGGAUCCAGAGGGAGUCACAAGUUGCCAUCUCCAUCGUCUACCAGCGCGCUGGAUUGGCCAGGGUCAAAGUCAACAUUGUAGAUCUUGUCUUGAAGGAACGAAAGAAGAGCAUACUCGAUGCAAUCAACUCAAGUUAUGAUGCCAGACUCAUGAAGGAAGCUGACAACUUCCUUGAUUUCUGCGUUAGGAGGCAGUAUGAUUUCCAUGAGAAGAAUGUAACAAGGUUUCUGAAACUCAGACGGACUGAUGGAAACAUGGGGCAGCCAGAGUCACAACAUCGCUUGGCCACCAAGAGGGAAAUGGCCAAGUUUGUUGAAGGGGAGAUGGAGCGGCACAACAUCCUAAUGAUGCGGAUGAUCUUGAAAAAGGUUCUGUACGUGGGCAAGGCGACAGUUGUACUUUUGCUGACAAUGUGGAGUCACGAUGUAUUUGUGUUUAUUGACUGCACUUCGGCAGAGAGUUUCAGCCAGCCUGUCCUCAGAAGGACUAAUGAAAUGGGUAUGAUUUGGUAUGGAAGCCUGCACAAUCGCUGGAACCUGCCGAGUGACUGCUCCUGCUGGAGUGCUCCAAACCCUACAGCCAGUCUGCUUUUUGCCUUUGACAAUGAUCUUGAGGAACGACCAGGACCUUAUCUUAGUCACUUUAUGAUGAAGAUGUUUGAUGAAAAGGGCAACGCUCUCAGCUUUGAGACUUUUGCUAACAGAGGAGAGCAAGAUGCCAGCAAGGCAAGAUAUUUUUUGUCUUGUGAAGGGCAUAAAAUCAUCGGCACCAACAAGGAAAAGACAAAGGUCACAGUUUGCGACCUGGAGAAACAGACAGAGCUUUGGUCCAGCGAAUUGACCAGCAUACUGAAGCUGGACAUGGCCAAGGGCACCGUCUACGUCUCAACGCGAGAGGGCCUGUUUGCCCUGGACAUCAACACACUGAAGCCACUUGUGAUCAUUCAUCUCAGGUCCAGCAGAUUUAUGGCACCACCCAAUGACAACGGACUUCUGUUGAAUCUCCCCGCUGGGAGUGCUGACUACCUCAAGGUGUUGAGCACGAAUGAAGUGAUGACAAGGAUUGACGGGACUGAACAGGUGAGGGUGACCUUCUCAAAGGGGAGCAGAAGCCAGAUGUCUUGGAAAUGAAGGAUGUGAUGGUACCAGGGAGGCCUAAGGAGCUAUGCUAUCUCAGCAAACAAGCGGGCUUUGUAGUCUCGGCUACAAUCUCCAGCCGUCACGAGUCGAGUCCGUAUUACCGAGAGAGCCUCUACUGGUUUGACAUGGACGG
rnacentral:misc_RNA from 1 species